rnacentral:ncRNA from 1 species
AUAAAUAGAAAAUCACGCACAUAUAAUAGCAAGAAUAUGGCUUGCAAGUUUCUACCAUCUAACCGUAAAUUAUGAUGACUAUGGGCAUUCUUUUUAAU